CUUGAGUCAAGAGUGACGGGCGAUUUGUGCAUAUUGGGUUUCUUUUUCAAAAAAAAAUUUUGUUAUCUAAAUUAAUCUUAAGUCCUCCUUCAAUUUUUGUUCUGCAUUUAUCUGAGCAGUUUAAAUGUGUAUCCCGCUUUCUUCUUUUUUCAUUGUUUCUGUCUUGAUUUGUUUUAAAUCUCAAACGAAUUUAAACUAGGAUCUUUUUUUUAAUUUUAAAACAAUGAUAUAGAGAAUAAAAGAAAUAGUGAUUUUAAUCGUGGGUUAUCUAUUACAUUGUAGGAUCCCCUAAACUGAUCUAAUACCGCCAUGUUUCUUAGAUUUUUCUUGUAUAGAUACUAUCUCUAUUUUCAUUAAAA
rnacentral:rRNA from 1 species